GAAAUACUCACUCCGUCCGGAAAUACUUGUCGGAGAAAUGGAUAAAAAUGGAUGUAUCUAUGAUUAAAAUAUGUCUAGAUACAUCCAUUUCUUCAACAAGUAUUUUCAGACGAAGGGAGUAACAA
rfam:Triticum aestivum genome assembly, contig: Triticum_aestivum_CS42_TGACv1_scaffold_062108_1DL